rnacentral:rRNA from 1 species
GACGAACGCUGGCGGCGUGCUUAACACAUGCAAGUCGAACGAAGUGGCGAACGGGUGAGUAACGCGUAAUACACCUGCACUUCAGAGGGGGACAACAGUUGGAAACGACUGCUAAUAACGCAUCCUGUAGGAGGGGAUUGCGUCUGAUUCGCUAGUUGGAGGGGUAACGGCCGACCAAGGCGAGGGUCAGGAGCGUGUCUAAGAGGAUGAACGGCCACAUUGGAACGGAGACACGGCCCAGACGCCUACGGGAGGCAGCAGUGGGGAAUCUUCCGCAAUGGACGAAAGUCUGACGGAGCAACGCCGCGUGAGUGAUGACGGCCUUCGGGUUGUAAAGCUCUGUUAAUCGGGACGCGGUACCGGAAUAGAAAGCCACGGCUAACUACGUGCCAGCAGCCGCGGUAAUAC